GUAGGGGGCAAGCGUUGUCCGGAAUCAUUGGGCGUAAAGCGCGUGUAGGCGGCCAGAUAAGUCCGCUGUGAAAUCUCGAGGCUCAACUUCGAGCUGUCGGUGGAAACUGUCUGGCUAGAGUCCGGAAGAGGAGAAUGGAAUUCCUGGUGUAGCGGUGAAAUGCGCAGAUAUCAGGAAGAACACCCGUGGCGAAGGCGGUUCUCUGGGACGGUACUGACGCUGAGACGCGAAAGCGUGGGGAGCGAACAGGAUUAGAUACCCUGGUAGUCCACGCCGUAAACGAUGGGUGCUAGGUGUGGGGGGUGUCGACUCCCUCCGUGCCGAAGCUAACGCAUUAAGCACCCCGCCUGGGGAGUACGGCCGCAAGGCUAAA
rnacentral:rRNA from 1 species